rnacentral:tRNA from 1 species
GGGGGCAGAUAGGGACUGGUGUCUCUCGCGGCCUUCAAAGCCGUUGACGGGUGCCGGUGGUGCCCGUGGUGGGUUCGAUUCCCACCUGCUCCCGCCA